rfam:Streptomyces sp. Ncost-T6T-2b genome assembly, contig: Ga0115255_12146
CGGUGCUUGCAUCACCCGACGCCGAGUGACCGGAUUAAUAGGAUUCGCUCACUUAUGGACGGGUCCGCUGCCGGGCCACGUCUCCGUCACGGAGGU